UACGAAGGGUGCAAGCGUUACUCGGAAUCACUGGGCGUAAAGCGUGCGUAGGCGGUUCGUUAAGUCUGCUGUGAAAGCCCUGGGCUCAACCUGGGAACUGCAGUGGAUACUGGCGGACUAGAGUGUGAUAGAGGAUGGUGGAAUUCCCGGUGUAGCGGUGAAAUGCGUAGAGAUCGGGAGGAACACCAGUGGCGAAGGCGGGUCUCUGGACAGUUCCUGACGCUGAGGCACGAAGGCCAGGGGAGCGAACGGG
rnacentral:rRNA from 1 species